rnacentral:lncRNA from 1 species
UGACACGUUGAUUCUAGAAGUAACUUCUGACCCCAUUCCAGCUGUUUUCACUGAUGGAGGAUUCUGGGGGAAUGGCUAUAGGGGAGAGGUGAGCAGGAGCUGGAGCAGAAUAGGCUGUAAAGUUGGGGCUCAGCCUGGGUCUGGAACAGUUUCAAUCUGUGGUUGAGAAGACAAGCUCAAAUCCCUUCCCACCAGGAACCUUUGUUGAGCCUCUGGCUCCUGCCAAUCUCUGGCGGGUUGGGGUUCUGACUGCCUAAUCUCUAUGAGCACCUCAGUCUCCACCUCUGAAAAACUGAUCCUAGCUGAUCCUAGCUCCCAGGGCUUAGGUAGAGAUCAGUCAUAUGAGAAGCUGAAGUGAGAAGGCAUGAUGAGCUCUUGGGGCUUACUUUGGUUUGGAUUCCUCUGGAAGCAAAUCGUAAGACAGGAUGAAAGUGCAAGUAGUUUAUCUGGGAGGUGGUCGCAGGAAAUCUUCCUGUCCUCUGGGAGAAGAAGACAUGGCGGGGAAGGGAAGAAAGCCAGGAAAGGGUGCAUGAUUGGGCUGAUGACAGUGGUGACGUCUGCAGUUUACGUCCCCUGGGGACUCUGGGAGCCAGCAGAACACACCUCAGACCAAGGCGGGAGGAAGCUGCAUUAUCUAUGUAUCAGUGGGCCAGCUGUGUUGGUCGAGGCUACUUCCAGCUUCGUGUGGCCAAGGUCUCCUACAGCUAGAAAUCAAGCCCUGGGCGGAGAAAUGCAGGUCUGCAGAGAUCUCUGAAUCUGAGCAGCAGAAGUAGUGACAGACCUCACCCCAGAUGGCGCUCCUGGUUCAUCUUUAUUUUUAGUUUCUGUCUGGAUGAAAAAUUUGCGAUGUGCACACCACGCAGAACAAAUAGAAUUAUGACUCACUUUUCACAAACUGUGUUGUGGAUUUCACAUAUUUUCAUGCUUGAUUUUCUACUAUGUUGAAAACUGAUACAAAAAUGCUCUUUUCCUCUUCUCUGGGACAUGGGGACAUGUGUCCCAAUGGGGAAGGGGCAUCGGUUCCCCCUUUCUUCCCUUCUUGCCUUCCCAACCGCACAGUGAGGGAAGAACCACUGUCUUUCUUCCUCAGCCUGGAAGCUUCAUUAUUCCUCACACAGGACCAUUUUUCCAGCUCAUUAGAACCUGGAGCUAAGAUAAAGGAGGGCAGAGCCAUUAGGUAGCAAUUUAUAUGUAAAUGUGGAAGUUACUAGAGAAAGAGAAUGGCCCACUGUUCUUUAGGAAGCCUUCAAGUUGGGAUCUUCUGGAAAGCUAGACUCACACAGGAGCCCUGUAAUGCCCACCACCCAUUUGCCAGGCUCUGGGUACAUCUCCUUGUCUUCACACAGGAGGAGACUGAGGCCACGGUGACACAGUGAGUGAUGUGCAGGGCCAGGACCUAAGCUGCAGGUGGACCUUGAAGGUAGUGCAUGGCCACUUUAUGGGGUACCUCUAAGGGGAGUGGGCCUCUCUGACCAGCCUCACACUCUCCCUUCUCCUUACUUCAAUUUUUGCAGCCUAUUCAGACUCAUCUGCUGGCUCAUGAGCUCAGAUCCAAG